GACGAAUGCUGGCGGCGUGCUUAACACAUGCAAGUCGAACGGAAAGGCCCUGCUUGCAGGGUACUCGAGUGGCGAACGGGUGAGUAACACGUGGGUGAUCUGCCCUGCACUUCGGGAUAAGCCUGGGAAACUGGGUCUAAUACCGGAUAGGAGCCAUUUUUAGUGCGAUGGUUGGAAAGUUUUUUCGGUGUAGGAUGAGCUCGCGGCCUAUCAGCUUGUUGGUGGGGUGAUGGCCUACCAAGGCGGCGACGGGUAGCCGGCCUGAGAGGGUGGACGGCCACAUUGGGACUGAGAUACGGCCCAGACUCCUACGGGAGGCAGCAGUGGGGAAUAUUGCACAAUGGGCGCAAGCCUGAUGCAGCGACGCCGCGUGGGGGAUGACGGCCUUCGGGUUGUAAACUCCUUUCGCUAGGGACGAAGCUUUUGUGACGGUACCUAGAUAAGAAGCACCGGCUAACUACGUG
rnacentral:rRNA from 1 species